rnacentral:rRNA from 1 species
GAGGAGCAGGCGCGCAAUUACCCAAUCCUGACUCAGGGAGGUAGUGACAAGAAAUAACAAUAAACCGGCUUAUGCCGGUUUAAUUGGAAUGAGUACAAUUUAAACAUCUUAACGAGGAACAAUUGGAGGGCAAGUCUGGUGCCAGCAGCCGCGGUAAUUCCAGCUCCAAUAGCGUAUACUAAAGUUGUUGCAGUUAAAAAGCUCGUAGUUGGAUUUCUGUGGGGACGGAGCGGCCGGCCGCAACACGCGGUUCGAGCUAGCGCUUUCCCUACAUCCUGCCGCGAACCGUGCUACCAUUAGUUUGGUGGCGCCGGGGAUCGGCUUGAUUACUUUGAGAAAAAUAGAGUGUUCAAAGCAGGCCACACGCCUUGAAUAAGUUAGCAUGGAAUAAUAACUAAGGACUUCGGUUCUAUUUUGUUGGUGUUCGGGACUGAAGUAAUGAUUGAUAGGGACAGUUGGGGCGGUCUGUAUUCCAAAGCGAGAGGUGAAAUUCUUAGACCUUCGGAAGACAAACAGCUGCGAAAGCGUUCCGCAAGGAUGUUCCCUUUGAUCAAGAACGAAAGUUGGGGGAUCGAAGACGAUCAGAUACCGUCGUAGUCUCAACUAUAAACUAUACCAGCUAGGGAUCGGCCAACGUUAUUCUAUACCGACUUGGUCGGCACCUUAUGAGAAAUCAAAGCAUCUGGGUUCCGGGGGGAGUAUGGUCGCAAGGCUGAAACUUAAAGGAAUUGACGGAAGGGCACCACCAGCCGUGGAGCCUGUGGCUUAAUUUGACUCAACACGGGAAAACUUACCAGGUCCAGACAUAGUAAGGAUUGACAGAUUGAUAGCUCUUUCUUGAUUCUGUGGGUGGUGGUGCAUGGCCGUUCUUAGUUAGUGGAGUGAUUUGUCUGGUUAAUUCCGUUAACGAACGAGACCCCAGCCUGCUAAAUAGCGCGCGUGAGCUUUGCUCGCGGCGAGCUUCUUAGAGGGACUAUGAUGCGCGAUAGCACAUGGAAGUUUGGGGCAAUAACAGGUCUGUGAUGCCCUUAGAUGUUCUGGGCCGCACACGGGCUACACUGGCGCCUGCAACGAGCAUAUCAGCUGGCCCGAGAGGGUCUUGGCUAAUCUUUUGAACCGGCGCCGUGCUUGGGAUUGACCUUUGCAAUUGUUGGUCAUGCAACGAGGAAUGCCUUGUAAACGCGAGUCAUCAGCUCGCAUUGAAUACGUCCCUGCCCUUUGUACACACCGCCCGUCGCUCCUACCGAUGAAUGUUCCGAUGAAAUUUUCGGAGAGUGCCUGUGAACUUGGCUCUGCCUUGCGAACGGGAAGCUCAAAGUCAC